CCUACGGGUGGCAGCAGUGGGGAAUAUUGGGCAAUGGGCGCAAGCCUGACCCAGCAACGCCGCGUGAAGGAAGAAGGCCUUCGGGUUGUAAACUUCUUUUGUCAGGGAAGAGUAGAAGACGGUACCUGACGAAUAAGCCACGGCUAACUACGUGCCAGCAGCCGCGGUAAUACGUAGGGGGCAAGCGUUGUCCGGAUUUACUGGGUGUAAAGGGCGUGUAGACGGGUUGACAAGUCAGAUGUGAAAUCCUGCGGCUUAACCGCAGAACUGCAUUUGAAACUGUUGAUCUUGAGUACUGGAGAGGCAGAUGGAAUUCCUAGUGGAGCGGUGAAAUGCGUAGAUAUUAGGAGGAACACCAGUGGCGAAGGCGGUCUGCUGGACAGCAACUGACGGUGAGGCGCGAAAGCGUGGGGAGCAAACAGGAUUAGAUACCCGAGUAGUC
rnacentral:rRNA from 1 species